rnacentral:lncRNA from 1 species
GAAUAUUUUAUUGCAUAUUUAACUCUUUUACUAGAUUACAGAUUUCCUCAAGUUAAAGGGCGUGUCUUAAUAAUUACUACUAUUAUUAUUACUGUUAUUAUUAUUGUCACCGGCAGUGCGAGGGAUCAGACCCAGGGCCCUGCAAUUCUCUAGUACUGAGCUGCGCCCACAACCCUCUUCAUCAUUUUUGCAUUGUCACUGCUUAGCACUAAGCACGGCAGAUGGUGGCUGUCAACAUUCUGUGAAUUCAGACAAGCACUGUGCUGCUGAGCCAUAUUCCCAGCUCACCAGAUCUCCUGAUGGAAUCCUUCACUUGAGUUCAGCUCUCCAAGCCCUGCUCACUUUCUUCCAACUCUGUUCAUAGCAUCAGUGGACUUUCUUCGGUAAGGCAAGAGAGCACUUCAGUUAAAGUCAGGGUUUCAGAAUUAGGUCUGGGUUCAAGUCUUGGCUCUGAAAAUGCUAUCCAUGGGUGAUCUUGUCCAGGAUGCUUCAAAUGAUUUUAGCUUCAGUUUCUUCAUCUGAUAGGUGAGAGGAAAGAAGUUCUUAGGGCAAACUAAAUGAGAUAUUUGCUAUAAAACAUGUAAAAUGAAACAUAAAACUAAGCUACUAAAGUUCAAAAACUCCUCACUUUUGCAUGUUGAGUAUAAAAAUGAAUCUGUGUCUGUCCAAGUCCUCAGAAUUUUUAAGUGAUGUUUGGGAAGUCUCUAUAUGAUGUCUAGGUUGG